AUGAAUUCGGUCCAUAGAUUUGAUGAGAGAAAAGACAAGUUGACGACAGAUUCUAGAAGGACGGGCGACCUGUCUACAGGAGCCAUCGGGGAUUCAACUCGCCUCAGGAAACUGACCAAAGAGCUCGACAUUAUAAAGCACUCUCUACCCAGGUUCACAAGGUACCGGAGGGGGAGCUGCCGGGGGACACGCCACCACUGAAGGUAAAACUUGGAGACUGGGUAAGGGGAAAGGUCCACAAGAGAAAGUGGCUGGAACCCAGGUGGACUGGUCUGUACGAAGUGAAGGAGGUUACUUCACACUCAGUCCAGGUCAAAGGUAAAUUGGGCGCACCUUGGCACCACCUCACACAUUGUACACCAGCUCCAACCCCUUCCCGCACACUGACGGAAGUCAGAACCGACCUAAGUGGUCUACAUUCGGCCCCAAAUCUUGCACCUCCUUAGUCAGGGAAAAUGGGAGGUUCAACCCCAUAUUCACUGACUAAGUCACACCGUACUCCUUGGGAACGGUUGGGGAUCUCCGGACCACUGUUUGUUAUUUUUCUUCUCAUGGGAGGAGUCACUGUAUGUACACUCACAUGGCUUAUAAACCAACAGAUGCACCCAC
rnacentral:lncRNA from 13 species